rnacentral:rRNA from 1 species
UGUAGUCAUAUGCUUGUCUCAAAGAUUAAGCCAUGCAUGUCUAAGUAUAAACAAAUUCUAUACUGUGAAACUGCGAAUGGCUCAUUAAAUCAGUAAUCGUUUAUUUGAUAGUACCUACUACUUGGAUAACCGUAGUAAUUCUAGAGCUAAUACAUGCGAAAAGACCCGACUCACGAAGGGUUGUAUUUAUUAGAUACAAAACCAAUGCGGGGCAACCCGGUUUCCGGUGAUUCAUAAUAACUUUUGCGAAUCGCAUGGCCUUGUGCCGGCGAUGAAUCAUUCAAAUUUCUGCCCUAUCAACUUUCGAUGGUAAGGUAUUGGCCUACCAUGGUCGCAACGGGUAACGGGGAAU